rnacentral:rRNA from 1 species
AGUGAACGCUGGCGGUAGGCCUAACACAUGCAAGUCGAACGGCAGCACAGUAAGAGCUUGCUCUUACGGGUGGCGAGUGGCGGACGGGUGAGGAAUACAUCGGAAUCUACUUUUUCGUGGGGGAUAACGUAGGGAAACUUACGCUAAUACCGCAUACGACCUACGGGUGAAAGCAGGGGGUCUUCGGACCUUGCGCGAUUGAAUGAGCCGAUGUCGGAUUAGCUAGUUGGCGGGGUAAAGGCCCACCAAGGCGACGAUCCGUAGCUGGUCUGAGAGGAUGAUCAGCCACACUGGAACUGAGACACGGUCCAGACUCCUACGGGAGGCAGCAGUGGGGAAUAUUGGACAAUGGGCGCAAGCCUGAUCCAGCCAUACCGCGUGGGUGAAGAAGGCCUCCGGGUUGUAAAGCCCUUUUGUUGGGAAAGAAAAGCAGCAGGUUAAUACCCCGCUGUUCUGACGGUACCCAAAGAAUAAGCACCGGCUAACUUCGUG